rnacentral:lncRNA from 1 species
AUAUACAUAUAUAUAUAUAUAUAUAUAUAUAUAUACAAACAAACAUAUGUUGUUAUACAUAUUGUAUAAAGGGAUAUGUAAUGAUAUAUAAGGUUGUAUGUUAUCAUUAUCAUAUCAUUGUAAUCUAUAUAAUUUUACUCCAGAACAUUUCAGUUUACCGCUUACAAUUGCAUCAGUAAAUAUGAAAGACUUUGUCAUAAAUUAAAAUUGUUGCACUAAA